rnacentral:rRNA from 1 species
GACGAACGCUGGCGGCGUGCUUAACACAUGCAAGUCGAACGGAAAGGCCCUGCUUUUGUGGGGUGCUCGAGUGGCGAACGGGUGAGUAACACGCGAGUAACCUGCCCUUGACUUUGGGAUAACUUCAGGAAACUGGGGCUAAUACCGGAUAGGAGCUCCUGCUGCAUGGUGGGGGUUGGAAAGUUUCGGCGGUUGGGGAUGGACUCGCGGCUUAUCAGCUUGUUGGUGGGGUAGUGGCUUACCAAGGCUUUGACGGGUAGCCGGCCUGGGAGGGUGACCGGCCACAUUGGGCCUGCGAUAGGGACCAGUCUCCUACGGGAGGCAGCAGUCGGGAAUAUUGCACAAUGGGGGGAAGCGUGAUGCAGCAACGCCGCGUGCGGGAUGACGGCCUUCGGGUUGUAAACCGAUUUCGCCUGUGACGAAGCGUGAGUGACGGUAAUGGGUAAAGAAGCACCGGCUAACUACGUG